UAGGGAAUAUUAGUAAUGGGCGAAAGCCUGAACUAGCAACGCCGCGUGUGCGAAGAAGGCCUUCGGGUUGUAAAGCACUUUUAGAGAGGAUGAGGAAGGACGGUACUCUCAGAAUAAGUCUCGGCUAACUACGUGCCAGCAGCCGCGGUAACACGUAGGAGGCGAACGUUAUCCGGAUUUACUGGGCGUAAAGCGCGUGUAGGUGGUUUGGUAAGUAGGGCGUGAAAGCUCCCGGCUCAACUGGGAGAGGCCGUUCUAAACUGCCAAGCUAGAGGAUGGUAGAGGGAGGUGGAAUUCCGGGUGUAGCGGUGGAAUGCGCAGAUAUCAGGAGGAACACCAGUGGCGAAGGCGACCUCCUGGGCCACUCCUGACACUCAGACGCGA
rnacentral:rRNA from 1 species